UAAGACCUGCGCUUUUGGAGCGGCCGAUGCCUGAUUAGCUAGUUGGUGGGGUAAUGGCCUACCAAAGCUUCGAUCAGUAGCUGGUCUGAGAGGACGGCCAGCCACACUGGGACUGAGACACGGCCCAGACUCCUACGGGAGGCAGCAGUGGGGAAUUUUGGACAAUGGGCGCAAGCCUGAUCCAGCCAUGCCGCGUGAGUGAAGAAGGCCUUCGGGUUGUAAAGCUCUUUCAGCCGGGAAGAAAAGGUUGCGAUUAAUAAUCGCAAUUUAUGACGGUACCGGAAGAAGAAGCACCGGCUAACUACGUGCCAGCAGCCGCGGUAAUACGUAGGGUGCGAGCGUUAAUCGGAAUUACUGGGCGUAAAGGGUGCGCAGGCGGUUUUGUAAGUCAGAUGUGAAAUCCCCGGGCUUAACCUGGGAACU
rnacentral:rRNA from 1 species